rnacentral:rRNA from 1 species
GACGAACGCUGGCGGCGUGCUUAACACAUGCAAGUCGAACGACGAAGCCCAGGUUGCUGGGUGGAUUAGUGGCGAACGGGUGAGUAACACGUGGGCAACCUGCCCCAAACUCUGGGAUAACUCCUCGAAAGAGGUGCUAAUACCGGAUACGAACUAGACAGACAUCUGUACUAGUUGGAAAGUUUUUCGGUUUGGGAUGGGCCCGCGGCCUAUCAGCUUGUUGGUGAGGUAACGGCUCACCAAGGCUACGACGGGUAACCGGCCUGAGAGGGCGACCGGUCACACUGGGACUGAGACACGGCCCAGACUCCUACGGGAGGCAGCAGUGGGGAAUAUUGCGCAUUGGGCGAAAGCCUGACGCAGCGACGCCGCGUGAGGGAUGAAGGUCUUCGGAUCGUAAACCUCUUUCAGUAGGGACGAAGCGAAAGUGACGGUACCUAAAGAAGAAGCACCGGCUAACUACGUGCCAGCCGCCGCGGUAA